ACUGUGGAUAUUCAAGUUUUAGGAGAGGUGGAAUCCAAGAUGGACAACAAAGAUCUGGAGAUGUCUAGUGUCUCUGUGCAUCCAUCAACUCCAUCAGCCAUGGACUCUGAUACACAUGCAUCAUUUGACUCCACUAGCAAUGACUACACCUCUUUGGUACUUUUACUGAUUGUUAGAUUGCUGUCAAUGAUCACCCCUAUCACAUUACUGGAAUCCUCUGACAUUGGUGAAACAUCAAGAGUUCUCACAAAGAGGAUUCUGUCUGAGUUCUGUGGCACCUCAGGCCUUGAACCAACUCAAGCCUACCCCCAGAAUCUGAAAAUCAAAAAGAUUUUCAAGGCUGUCUACAUGGGGCUUCUUCAAGAAUUCGGGUCAGAGAAGAUGCUCCAGGUUGCAAUGAAGUCAACGGAUUAUGCAUUUGACGAUGCCCUGGUCAAAUCAUUAACGAGGGAACUACUAACUGAAUGUAAUGAGGCUAGCUCUUCACCUCCCUCCAUGACACAGUUGUCAUCACACAAUGCACUUGGCAGUGACGAGGUAGGUAAUUCUGGGCUUCCAACAACUGGUAUAAAGGAAAAUAAGAGAGGAAGAUUCAGCGCUCUCUGUGGACUCAAUCCAAAGUGUACAAAGAAGGUCAACAAGAAGAACCACUGCACUCCAACACCUUCCCAGAACCAGACCCCUGCCGUCAGUGAAACAGCAAUUGUCAAUGAUCAAGAAUCCUGCCGAACAGAGAGUAUAUGCUCCACCAAGAAGAAACCAAGGAAGCGUUCGCUCAUUUCCAGGAUGUUUUCAGCUAUAGGCAAAGCCUUUUCCAGUCCCUUUACUUCCUGCUAUAAAAAGAAGAGCACCUAAUCUAUAUUUCAAAAUAAAUAUUUGAAAUGAACAUAAUUGCAUUAA